AAAUAAGCUAUUAAGGGCUAAUGGUGGAUGCCUAGACUGUAAGAGGCGAAGAAGGACGUACUAGACUGCGAUAAGCUUUGGGGAGCCGUCAAGAGGCAUUGAUCCAGAGAUUU
rnacentral:rRNA from 1 species